rnacentral:rRNA from 1 species
GACGAACGCUGGCGGCGUGCUUAACACAUGCAAGUCGAGCGGAAAGGCCCCACCUUGCUCUCGUGCUCCAAACGGGUAAGUAACAGGUAAAUAACGUUCCUCAGCCUUGGAGUUAACCCUCAGCAUCGGAGACUAGUACCAAUUACGGAUCUGCCUCUUAUGCUUUUUGUGUUUGGAGUAUUUUUUUUUGGUGUAGGAUGGGCGCGCGGCCUAUCAGCUUGUUGGUGGGGUGAUGGCCUACCAAGGCGACGACGGGUAGCCGGCCUGAGAGGGUGACCGGCCACAUUGGGACUGAGAUACGGCCCAGACUCCUACGGGAGGCAGCAGUGGGGAAUAUUGCACAAUGGGCGGAAGCCUGAUGCAGCGACGCCGCGUGAGGGAUGACGGCCUUCGGGUUGUAAACCUCUUUCAGCAGGGACGAAGCGUAAGUGACGGUACCUGCAGAAGAAGCGCCGGCUAACUACGUG